rnacentral:tRNA from 1 species
CCCUGGUUAGCUCAGUUGGUAGAGCACUCCACCUGUAAUGGAGAGGUCCCGGGUUCGAUACCCGGACCUGGCG